rnacentral:rRNA from 1 species
UACGUAGGGGGCAAGCGUUAUCCGGAUUUAUUGGGUUUAAAGGGUGCGUAGGCGGCCUAUUAAGUCAGGGGUGAAAGACGGUAGCUUAACUAUCGCAGUGCCUUUGAUACUGAUGGGCUUGAAUGAACUAGAGGUAGGCGGAAUGUGACAAGUAGCGGUGAAAUGCAUAGAUAUGUCACAGAACACCAAUUGCGAAGGCAGCUUACUAUGGUUUUAUUGACGCUGAGGCACGAAAGCGUGGGGAGCGAACAGG